GACAGAGGGUGCAAGCGUUGCUCGGAAUUACUGGGCGUAAAGCGCGUGUAGGCGGACCAACAAGUCGGACGUGAAAGCCCUGGGCUCAACCCAGGAACUGCAUCCGAAACUGUUGGCCUGGAGUGGUGGAGAGGGAAGCAGAAUUCCUGGUGUAGAGGUGAAAUUCGUAGAUAUCAGGAGGAACACCGGUGGCGAAGGCGGCUUCCUGGACAAUUACUGACGCUGAGACGCGAAAGCGUGGGGAGCAAACAGG
rnacentral:rRNA from 1 species